AACGAACGCUGGCGGCAGGCCUAACACAUGCAAGUCGAGCGAGGACUUCGGUCCUAGCGGCGGACGGGUGAGAAACGCGUGGGAACGUGCCCUUUGCUUCGGAAUAGCCCUGGGAAACUGGGAGUAAUACCGGAUGAGCCCUUUGGGGGAAAGAUUUAUCGGCGAAGGAUCGGCCCGCGUUGGAUUAGGUAGUUGGUGGGGUAAUGGCCUACCAAGCCGACGAUCCAUAGCUGGUUUGAGAGGAUGAUCAGCCACACUGGGACUGAGACACGGCCCAGACUCCUACGGGAGGCAGCAGUGGGGAAUCUUAGACAAUGGGGGAAACCCUGAUCUAGCCAUGCCGCGUGAGCGAUGAAGGCCUUAGGGUUGUAAAGCUCUUUCAGCUGGGAAGAUAAUGACGGUACCAGCAGAAGAAGCCCCGGCUAACUCCGU
rnacentral:rRNA from 1 species